rnacentral:rRNA from 1 species
GACGAACGCUGGCGGCGUGCUUAACACAUGCAAGUCGAACGAACAGGCGCGGCGCUUGCGCGUUGCUCGUUAGGCGAGCGGGGGAGUAACACAUGAAUAACCUGCACUUGACUGUGUGAGAACAUCAGGAAACACGGGAGAAUACCGGAGAGGAGAUCCUGCAGCGCGGGGUUGGUUGGAGAGUGUCGGCGGUGGUGGAUGGACUCGCGGCUUAUCAGCUGGAUGGGGGGGUAGUGGAUGACCAGGCCUUCGACGGGUAGCCGGCCUGAGAGCGUGACCGGCCUCAUUGGGACUGCGGUACGGCCCAGACUGCUACGGGAGGCAGCAGUCGAGAGCCUUGCGGAGUAGCGGCACGCCUGAUGCAGCAACGCCGGGUGCGUGAUGCCGGCCUUCGGGUUAUGAACCGAUUUGUAAUGUGAUGAAGACUGCGUGACGGUACUGAGUCAGAAAGCCCCGGCUAACUACGUG